rnacentral:rRNA from 1 species
UACGUAGGGUGCAAGCGUUAAUCGGAAUUACUGGGCGUAAAGCGUGCGCAGGCGGUUAUGCAAGACAGAUGUGAAAUCCCCGGGCUCAACCUGGGAACUGCAUUUGUGACUGCAUAGCUAGAGUACGGUAGAGGGGGAUGGAAUUCCACGUGUAGCAGUGAAAUGCGUAGAUAUGUGGAGGAACACCGAUGGCGAAGGCAAUCCCCUGGACCUGUACUGACGCUCAUGCACGAAAGCGUGGGGAGCAAACAGG